UACGUAGGGUGCAAGCGUUAAUCGGAAUUACUGGGCGUAAAGCGUGCGCAGGCGGUUUUGUAAGUCAGAUGUGAAAUCCCCGGGCUCAACCUGGGAAUUGCGUUGGAGACUGCAAGGCUGGAGUCUGGCAGAGGGGGGUAGAAUUCCACGUGUAGCAGUGAAAUGCGUAGAGAUGUGGAGGAACACCGAUGGCGAAGGCAGCCCCCUGGGUCAAGACUGACGCUCAUGCACGAAAAGCGUGGGGAGCAAACAGG
rnacentral:rRNA from 1 species